rnacentral:rRNA from 1 species
UACGUAGGGUGCAAGCGUUAUCCGGAAUUAUUGGGCGUAAAGGGCUCGUAGGCGGUUUGUCGCGUCGGGAGUGAAAACUCAGGGCUCAACCCUGAGCGUGCUUCCGAUACGGGCAGACUAGAGGUAUGCAGGGGAGAACGGAAUUCCUGGUGUAGCGGUGGAAUGCGCAGAUAUCAAGAGGAACACCGGUGGCGAAGGCGGUUCUCUGGCAUUACCUGACGCUGAGGAGCGAAAGCAUGGGAGCGAACAGG